rnacentral:lncRNA from 1 species
GUUUUUUUGAGUUUUUUGGGGUUUUUUUUUAGCUUUUUGAGUUUUUUGGGGGGUUUUUUUGAGUUUUUUGGGGGUUUUUUUGGGUUUUUUGGGGUUUUUUUUGAGUUUUUUAGGAGUUUUUUGGGGUGUUUUUGGAGGUUUUAUUUGGAGUUUUUUUGGGGGUUAUUCUGGGGGUGUUUCUGGGGUUUUUUUGGGGUGUUUUUGGGGUUUUUUUGGGGUGUUUCUGGGGUUAUUCUGGGGUGUUUCUGGGAUUUUUUUGGGGUGUUUCUGGGGUUAUUUUGGGGUGUUCCUGGGGUUAUUCUGGGGGUGUUUCCGGGGUUAUUCUGGGGUGUUUUUGGGUCACUCACGAGUCCCGGCGGCGCCGCUGGUGCUCGAAGACGAGGAGGCCGCGGGCGUUGACGCUGCAGAGCAGCUCCCGGCCCCGCAGCAGGUCCAGGCGGAACGGGCGCUCUGUCACCAGCAGCCGGUGUCCCCCGGGGCCCAGAGACAGCUCCAGGGUGGCCUCGUCACGGGCUGUCACCUCCAGCCUGGGGACAGCGGCCGAAAGGGGUGGCUGUGACACCCCUGGGUCCCCUGUCCUCUCUUGGGGGUGGCUGUGACACCCCUGUGUCCUCAGUGUCCCCAAUGUCCCCAGUGCUGUCCCCAGUGUCCCCAAUGUCCCCAGUGCUGUCCCCAGUGUCCCCAGUGUCCCCAAUGUCCCCAGUGUCCCCUCACCUCUCGGCAGGUGGCUGUGACACCCCAGUGUCCCCAGUGUCCCCAGUGUCCCCUCACCUCUCGGCAGGUGGCUGUGACCCCCCAGUGUCCCCAGUGUCCCCA